rnacentral:rRNA from 1 species
UGAGUACCUGCCCUUCACUCUGGGAUAGCUACCGGGAAACCGGGGCUAAUACUGGAUAUGACUCGAACAGGCAUCUGUUUCGGGUGGAAAGAUUUAUUGGUGGAGGAUGGACUCGCGGCCUAUCAGCUUGUUGGUGAGGUAAUGGCUCACCAAGGCGACGGACGGGUAGCCGGCCUGAGAGGGUGACCGGCCACACGUGGGACUGAGACACGGCCCAGACUCCGUAGGGAGCA